CAUAGCGACUAUCGUGGCAUAUCAAUAAGCGGAGGAAAAGAAACUAACAAGGAUUCCCUUAGUAACGGCGAGUGAAGCGGGAAGAGCUCAAAUUUGAAAUCUUCAAGGUUUUACCUUGACGAAUUGUAGUUUAAAGAAGUGUUUUCUGUUGGAGUUUUGGUAAAAGUUCUUUGGAAUAGGACAUCAUAGAGGGUGAGAAUCCCGUAUUUGACCAUUAUUUCCAGCUGUGUGAUACACUUUCAAGAGUCGGAUUGUUUGGGAAUGCAGUCCAAAAUGGGUGGUAAAUUUCAUCUAAAGCUAAAUAUUGGCGAGAGACCGAUAGCGAACAAGUACCGUGAGGGAAAGAUGAAAAGAACUUUGAAAAGAGAGUUAAACAGUACGUGAAAUUGUCAAAAGGGAAGCGUUUGACACCAGUGUUGUUUUCUCGAAAAUCAAUUAAAAAUGAUGGGAUUUUGUGUUGUAUUGACUUUAUCAGCUUUCUGCACUUUUUUCCUAUCUUUUUUAAUGCACUUUUCGUUUAACAAGACAACAUCAAUUUCUUUUGCUGUAAAAGAGUCAUUGGAAGGUGGCUUUCUUUUCGGAGAAAGUGUUUAUAGCCUUUGACUUCUGCAGUCGGAGAGAUUGAGGUCUGCAGCGUAGAUCCUUCGGGGUUAGAUACAUUUGUGCUAAGCUAUAGCCUUUCAUAGACAACUUGUUGACUAUGAUCAGUCAUGUAGCUUACUCGCUUAUGCUAUUUUACCUACGCUUAGGAUGUUGAUAUGCAUGACUGAUAU
rnacentral:rRNA from 1 species